AAGGAGCCGGGCCGUCGAGUUAUCGAGGAGGGGAAGGUUGUAUCGGGAUAAAGCUGGGGGAGACGUCAAUGGAGAUUUAAUUCACUAGUCGGUUCCUAUCGGACUAGCCCUUAAAGGGGCCGUAGUAGCAGGUUGAGGCGGUGGUGCUGUGGAGUGCGGGAGUUCUCAGCGGCGGCGGAGGUAGCGAUGAGAGAAACACUUUAAUUGGUGGGAUAUUUUAAACGUCAUUUCUUUGUGCUGUACCUGGAGCCUUUACCAUUGUUCAGCUGUAUACCAGGUGACUCGUACUUGUAUGCAUCUUUGUAUCUACUUUCACAUCCUCAAAGCAAAAGUUGGACUCCUGGAAAGAAAUGUCUUGAUGGAUCCAUCUUAAGUGUGGUGCACUAACAAUUUACAUUGUUGAUCAACAAUGCCUUCCAAAGUGCACAAGUAUAAAUUUCUAAAGAAG